CAACGUCCCCCCCGUGACGUGCCCGCCUCCGGGUGAGACGAAAUCCCUGACACUAACUCGAGCGGCACUCGCUCCCACUCGGCGGUGAAUGGGGGAAGUACAACUCCGAACGUUCUAGUCCGGUACAACCCUCGUCUCUUCGGUCUGACACGUCUGAGACACGCCGGUAGUCGACGGUCACGCUUCGCCACAACCACCGGGAAGACUCCAGCGCUGCUAAGCUAGCUAGGAAUGAGCAAGGAUGGCCGGCUCUGCAGCAGAGGAGAAAAACUUCCGACGGUUCCUGGAGCUCUUUCUCCGGGAGAUGAGCCCGCCUCUGCAGGACAGCGACCCGCUCCCUGCGCGCCCCUUGACGGACCUGGUGUGUGAGGACGAGGUGGAGGGGGAAUGCCUCGACUUGUGUCUGCAGCACCUCUACAAAUAUAACUGCCCGUGCUCCUUGGCGGCGGCUCUGGCCAGAGCGACGUCCGACAGCAUCCUGCAGAGCGACCUCACCAUCCACCACCUCGUCAAGAGUGGAGAAGACGGCGUCGGCCCCUUACCACAACUGGAGGCGGUCAAGUUGGCCCGUUUGAUCUUCAAGCGACUGUUCGAUACCUGCAGUCUGUGGAGCAAAGAGAUUCCGUAUCGCCGCCGCCCGCAGCCGUACUACGAGACGUCCAUCCACGCCAUCAAGAACAUGAGGCGCAAGAUGGAGGACCGACACCUCAUCAUCCCCGACUUCAACACGCUCUUCAACGUUCAGGAUCAGGAAGAGCAGGCCUUCUUCGCCGUGUUCGACGGGCACGGUGGCGUGGACGCCGCCAUUUACGCCGCCAACCACCUCCACGUCAACCUGGCGCGCCAGGAGUCCUUGGCCCAGGACCCGGGGGAGGCCUUGCGCCGCGCCUUCAAGAUCACGGACCAGCACUUUGUCAAGAAGGCGUCACGUGAGAACUUACGCUGCGGCACCACGGGCGUGGUCACCUUCCUGCGGGGCCGCACGCUGCACGUGGCCUGGCUGGGGGACUCCCAGGUCAUCCUGGUGCGGCGCGGCCAGGUGGUGGAGCUGAUGAAGGCGCACAAACCCGACCGAGAGGACGAGAAGCAGAGGAUCGAAGCUCUGGGCGGCUGCGUCAUCUGGUUUGGAACCUGGAGAGUCAACGGCAGUCUGUCCGUAUCCAGAGCCAUCGGCGACUCGGAGCACAAGCCUUACAUCUGCGGCGACGCCGACCACAACGUCUUCCCAUUGGACGGCUCCGAGGACUACCUCAUUCUGGCCUGCGAUGGCUUCUGGGACACAGUCAGUCCCGACGAGGCGGUCCGGGUGGUCAGCGACCACCUUCAGGAGAACGCGGGCGACACCUCCAUGGUGGCCCACAAGCUGGUGGCCUCGGCCCGCGACGCCGGCUCCAGCGAUAACAUCACCGUCAUCGUAGUUUUUCUGCGGGACCCCCGCUCCGCGCCACCCACCAUCACGGAGGACGACGACGAAGAGGAGGAGGGCGUGGCGGAAGGUCCGAUGGAGGAGGAGCCAACUGCAGAGCCAGAGGAGGAGCCGGAAGAGGAGCCGGAGGAAGAGGAGGCUGGCAGAGCAGAGCGAGGCGGCGGCGAAGGAGGCAGCGCAGCGGACAACGGGGGGAAGAGUCGUGGCGGCUGGCCCCUGCAGCAGUGCUCCGCUCCGGCCGACCUCGGCUACGAUGACCGCAAGGACUCUUUGACGGACAGAACCAGCCUCAGCCUCCUGGGGCCCACGUUGGGGGGCCGCAUCUUUUCCAGCCUGCACGCCGCCCCCCUGGAUAAACGCCCUCUAAGGCGCCGCCUCCACCUCCCGUACCAGGAGUCCGGUAUCGCCAGUUUUACGGACCCACUGUGGCACCAGACCGCCUCGCUGCUGGGCCGGGUCGCCAGGCGGAGCCACCGGCUCGUCGGCGGCAGGCGUGACCUCAGGCGGCCGCAGAGCUUCACCAAGUCCCUGGCUUUCUUUUCACCUGACCACCUGCAGCGCUGCGCCCCCUGGAGGCCUACGCUGCCCCAUGACCCCGCAGUCUGAGGCGCCUCCUGCGUCUUUUCAAGCCCCGCCCCCUAACCCCGCCUUCCCGCCUCUGCCUUCAACACCUGGUCUUUUCUUUGGCUAGUUUAGCUGCGUGUGGAGCUUUUCUUUCGUGACGUGAACAUUGAGCGCUUGUCUUCAUAAACAAGCUUGGAUCAAAGUGACGCUAGCGGUCAAGCUAAACACUUUUUAGUCAUGACGCUAGUACUCAAACUAACACCUUUCAGUCAUGAUGCUAGCACUCUAACACCUUUCAGUCAUGAUGCUAGCACUCAAACUAACACCUUUCAGUCAUGAUGCUAGCACUCUAACACCUUUCAGUCAUGAUGCUAGCACUCAAACUAACACCUUUCAGUCAUGACGCUAGCACUCAAGCUAACACUUUUCAGUCAUGACGCUAACACUUUUCAGUCAUGACGCUAGCACCCAAACUAACACUUUUCAGUCAUGACGCUAACAAUUUUCAGUCAUGACGCUAGCACUCAAGCUAACACUUUUCAGUCAUGACGCUAACACUUUUCAGUCAUGAUGCUAGCACUCAAGCUAACACUUUUCAGUCAUGAUGCUAGCACUCAAGCUAACACUUUUCAGUCAUGACGCUAGCACUCAAGCUAACACUUUUCAGUCAUGACGCUAACACUUUUCAGUCAUGAUGCUAGCACUCAAGCUAACACCUUUCAGUCAUGAUGCUAGCACUCAAGCUAACACUUUUCAGUCAUGACGCUAGCACUCAAGCUAACAUUUUUCAGUCAUGAUGCUAGCACUCAAGCUAACACCUUUCAGUCAUGAUGCUAGCACCACAGGUAACACCUUUCAGUCAUGAUGCUAGCACUCAAGCUAACACCUUUCAGUCAUGAUGCUAGCACUAAAGGUAACACCUUUCAGUCAUGAUGCUAGCCCUAAAGCUAACACCUUUCAGUCAUGAUGUUAGCAUUCAAGCUAACACCUUUCAGUCAUGAUGCUAGCACCAAAGGUAACACCUUUCAGUCAUGAUGCUAGCCCUAAAGCUAACACCUUUCAGUCAUGAUGUUAGCACUCAAGCUCCUUUCAGUCAUGAUGCUAGCACUAAAGGUAACACCUUUCAGUCAUGAUGCUAGCCCUAAAGCUAACACCUUUCAGUCAUGAUGUUAGCACUCAAGCUAACACCUUUCAGUCAUGAUGCUAGCACUAAAGGUAACACCUUUCAGUCAUGAUGCUAGCCUUAAAGCUAACACCUUUCAGUCAUGAUGUUAGCACUCAAGCUAACACCUUUCAGUCAUGAUGCUAGCACUAAAGGUAACACCUUUCAGUCAUGAUGUUAGCACUCAAGCUAACACCUUUCAGUCAUGAUGCUAGCACUCAAGCUAACACCUUUCAGUCAUGAUGCUAGCAUUCAAGUUAACACUUUUCAGUCAUGCUUGCACUCAAGCUAACACCUUUCAGUCAUGAUGCUAGCCCUAAAGCUAACACCUUUCAGUCAUGAUGCUAGCCCUAAAGCUAACACCUUUCAGUCAUGAUGCUAGCCCUAAAGCUAACACCUUUCAGUCAUGAUGCUAGCACUAAAGCUAACACCUGUCAGUCAUGAUGCUUGCACUCAAGCUAACACUUUUCAGUCAUGACGCUAACACACAAGCUAACAUUUUUCAGUCAUGAUGUUAGCACUCAAGCUAACACUAUUCGGUCAUGAUGCUAGCACUAAAGCUAACUCCUUUCAGUCAUGACGAUAGCCCUCAAGCUAACACUUUCCCGUUACGCUAGCAGCCAAGCUAACACUUUUCAAUCAUACUGUUAACACUUCAGUCAUGACGCUGGCACUCAAGCUAACAGUUUUCAGUCAUGAUGUUAACAGUCAAGCUAAGAUUUUUUCAGUCUUGAAGCCAAAACUUUCAGGCCAUAUGAAACAAAAAUAAAAGUGUACUUUUGGAGGCGGAGCUUACAUUCAAUGAACACAGUUAAUGUUUCCAAGUGCUAUAAAGCAGAUUUUUUGGAACGCAUACAUAGAAAAAAAAAUCCUAAAAUCGUUAUCAGAAAUUUCUUAGCAUUUAAAGCAUGUGAGGUCAUCCUGAUGUUACAGAAAAUGAGUGAGAAGCAAUGAUGUUUUGCAGUUUAAAAAAAGUUUUUCGGGUUUUUCAUCAAAAGGAGAGUUGAACUUGUACGACUGCUGAGUCGAGAUGUUUGGAUUUGUCCCAUCCAUGAUUUUACUUUGUUAAUGCCAGUUUUUUGUCAGCCUCUCAUUCCAUGUGUGCACUCAUGAAAAAGCACUCAGAGGCUGGAUUAUAAAAGAUUAGCCGUCACUUACCUGAUGCUACGCGAAGCAGGGGAUUUAUUUGUGUUGAUGACGCUUUCAGGAGCAGGACAAAAGUCACUCUAUUUUUAUUCUUCUGCUGGCUCCUGAAAUUAUUUGUGCUGCAAGUUGCAAACAGCUGCCUUCUUUGGACUGAUGUUCCUCCAACAACUAGCGAGCUAACUAGUUCUGUACAAAAUACUAGUUAGCUGUGUCUAAAGACCAGACAGUUUAGUCCUAAAACUAGCAUAUACGUUUCUCUGUGUCUGAUUGGACAGCUUGCUAGUUCUGUCUCAAGACCAGCAGGCUAGCCGACCAGUUCUGUCUAAAGACUAGCAGGCUUGCAGACCAGUUCUGUCUAAAGACUAGCAGGCUUGCCGACCAGUUCUGUCUAAAGACUAGCAGGCUUGCAGACCAGUUCUGUCUCAAGACCAGCAGGCUAGCCGACCAGUUCUGUCUAAAGACAAGCAGGCUUGCAGACCAGUUCUGUCUAAAGACUAGCAGGCUUGCCGACCAGUUCUGUCUAAAGACUAGCAGGCUUGCCAACCAGUUCUGUCCAAAGACUCGCAGGCGAGCCGACUAGUUUUGUCUAUUGACUAGCUUUGUCUCAAGACUAGCAGGCUAGCCGACCAUUUUUGUCAAAAGACUAGACGGUUAGCCGACUAGUUUUGUCUAUUGACUGGCUGACUAGUUUUGUCUCAAGACUAGCAGGCUAGCCGACCAGUUCCGUCUUAAGACUAGCACGUUAGCCGACUAAUUUUGUCUAUUGACUAGCUGACUAGUUUUGUCUCAAGACAAGCAGGCUAGCCGACCAGUUCUGUCUAAAGACUAGCAGGUUAGCCGACUAAUUUUGUCUAUUGAGUAGCUGUCUAGUUUUGUCUCAUGACUAGCAGGCUAGCUGACUAGUUCUGUCUAUUGACUAGCUGACUAGUUUUGUCUCAUGACUAGCAGGCUAGCUGACUAGUUUUGUCUAAAGACUAGCAGGCUAUUGUACUAUUUCUGUCUAAAGACUAGUAGGUUAGCCGACUAGUUUUGUCCAAAGACUAGCCGACUGGUCGACUAGUUUUGUCUAAAGACUAGCAGGCUAGACGACUAAUUUUUUUUCAUAAAGACUUGUCGACUAGUUUGGUCUACAGACUAGCAGGCUAGCCGACUAGUUAUGUCUAAAGACCAGCAAGCUAGUCGACUAGUUUUGUCUAAAGAUUAGCAGGCUAUUGGACUAAUUUUGUUUACAGACUAGCAGGUUAGCCGACUAGUUUUGUCCAAAGACUAGUAGACUAGUUUUGUCUAAAGACUGGACGACAAUUUUUUGGUCUAAAGACUAGUCAUCUAGUUAUGUCUAAAGACUAGCACGCUAGCCGACUAGUUAUGUCUAAAGACUAGCAAGCUAGUCGACUAGUUUUGUCUAAAGAUUAGCAGGCUAUUGGACUAAUUUUGUUUACAGACUAGCAGGUUAGCCGACUAGUUGUGUCCAAAGACUAGUAGACUAGUUUUGUCUAAAGACUAGACGACAAUUUUUUGGUGUAAAGACUAGUCAUCUAGUUAUGUCUAAAGACUAGCAGGCUAGCCGACUAGUUAUGUCUGAAGACUAGCAAGCUAGUCGACUAGUUUUGUCUAAAGAUUAGCAGGCUAUUGGACUAAUUUUGUUUACAGACUAGCAGGCUAGCUGACUAGUUCUGUCUAUUGACUAGCUGACUAGUUUUGUCUCAUGACUAGCAGGCUAGCUGACUAGUUUUGUCUAAAGACUAGCAGGCUAUUGUACUAUUUCUGUCUAAAGACUAGUAGGUUAGCCGACUAGUUUUGUCCAAAGACUAGCCGACUGGUCGACUAGUUUUGUCUAAAGACUAGCAGGCUAGACGACUAAUUUUUUUUCAUAAAGACUUGUCGACUAGUUUGGUCUACAGACUAGCAGGCUAGCCGACUAGUUAUGUCUAAAGACCAGCAAGCUAGUCGACUAGUUUUGUCUAAAGAUUAGCAGGCUAUUGGACUAAUUUUGUUUACAGACUAGCAGGUUAGCCGACUAGUUUUGUCCAAAGACUAGUAGACUAGUUUUGUCUAAAGACUGGACGACAAUUUUUUGGUCUAAAGACUAGUCAUCUAGUUAUGUCUAAAGACUAGCACGCUAGCCGACUAGUUAUGUCUAAAGACUAGCAAGCUAGUCGACUAGUUUUGUCUAAAGAUUAGCAGGCUAUUGGACUAAUUUUGUUUACAGACUAGCAGGUUAGCCGACUAGUUGUGUCCAAAGACUAGUAGACUAGUUUUGUCUAAAGACUAGACGACAAUUUUUUGGUGUAAAGACUAGUCAUCUAGUUAUGUCUAAAGACUAGCAGGCUAGCCGACUAGUUAUGUCUGAAGACUAGCAAGCUAGUCGACUAGUUUUGUCUAAAGAUUAGCAGGCUAUUGGACUAAUUUUGUUUACAGACUAGCAGGUUAGCCGACUAGUUUUGUCCAAAGACUAGUAGACUAGUUUUGUCUAAAGACUAGACGACAAUUUUUUGGUCUAAAGACUAGUCAUCUAGUUAUGUCUAAAGACUAGCAGGCUAGUCGACUAGUUUUUUCUACAGACUAGUAGGUUAGCCAACUAGUUUUGUCCAAAGACUAGCAGACUAGUUGACUAAGUUUGUCUAAACUAGUUUUGUCUCAAGACUAGCAGGCUAGCGGACUAGUUCUGUCUAAAAACGGGCAGGCUAGUUGACUAGUUUUGUCUCAAGACUAGCCAACUAGUUUUGUCUCAAGACCAGCAGGCUAGCCGACCAGUUUUGUUCAAGACUAGCAGGUUAGCCGACUAGUUUUGUCUAUUGACUAGCUGACUAGUUUUGUCUCAUUACUAGCAGACUAGUCGCCUAGUUCUGUCUAAAGACUAGCAGGCUAGUCGACUAGUUAUGUCUAAAGACUAGCAGGCUAUUGGACUAGUUUUGUCUACAGACUAGCAGGUUAGCCGACUAGUUUUGUCCAAAGACUAGCAGACUAGUCGACUCGUUUUGUCUAAAGACUAGCAGGCUAGUCGACUAGUUAUGUCUAAAGACUAGCAGGCUAUUGGACUACUUUUGUCUACAGACUAGCAGGUUAGCCGACUAGUUUUGUCCAAAGACUAGCAGACUAGUCGACUCGUUUUGUCUAAAGACUAGCAGGCUAGACGACUAUUUUUUUGUCUAAAAACUAGCAGGCCAGCCGUCUAGUUUUGUCCAAAGACUAGCAGGCUAUUGGACUAGUUUUGUCUACAGACUAGCAGGUUAGCCGACUAUUUUUGUCCAAAGACUAGCAGACUAGUCGACUAGUUUUGUCUAAAAACUAGCAGGCUAGACUACUAGUUUUUUCCAAAGACUAGCUGGCUAGCUAACUAGUUUUGUCCAAAGACUAACAGACUAGCCGGUUAGUCGACUAGUUUUGUCCAAAGACUGGCAGGUUAGUCGACUAGUUUUGUCCAAAGACUAGACGGCUAGUCGACUAGUUUUGUCCAAAGACUAGCAGACUAGCCGACUAGUUUUGUCCAAAGACUAGCCGGUUAGUCGACUAGUUUUGUCCAAAGACUGGCAGGUUAGUCGACUAGUUUUGUCCAAAGACUAGCAGGCUAGCCGACUAGUUUUGUCCAAAGACUAGCAGACUAGCCGACUAGUUUUGUCCAAAGACUAGCCGGUUAGUCGACUAGUUUUGUCCAAAGACUGGCAGGUUAGUCGACUAGUUUUGUCCAAAGACUAGACGGCUAGUCGACUAGUUUUGUCCAAAGACUAGCAGACUAGCCGACUAGUUUUGUCCAAAGACUAGCCGGUUAGUCGACUAGUUUUGUCCAAAGACUGGCAGGUUAGUCGACUAGUUUUGUCCAAAGACUAGACGGCUAGUCGACUAGUUUUGUCCAAAGACUAGCAGACUAGCCGACUAGUUUUGUCCAAAGACUAGCCGGUUAGUCGACUAGUUUUGUCCAAAGACUGGCAGGUUAGUCGACUAGUUUUGUCCAAAGACUAGCAGGCUAGCCGACUAGUUUUGUCCAAAGACUAGCAGACUAGCCGACUAGUUUUGUCCAAAGACUAGCCGGUUAGUCGACUAGUUUUGUCCAAAGACUGGCAGGUUAGUCGACUAGUUUUGUCCAAAGACUAGACGGCUAGUCGACUAGUUUUGUCCAAAGACUAGCAGACUAGCCGACUAGUUUUGUCCAAAGACUAGCCGGUUAGUCGACUAGUUUUGUCCAAAGACUGGCAGGUUAGUCGACUAGUUUUGUCCAAAGACUAGCAGGCUAGCCGACUAGUUUUGUCUAAAGACUAGCAGGCUAGCCGACUAGUUUUGUCUAAAGACUAGCAGGCUAGCCGACUAGUUUUGUCUAAGGACUAGCGUCACUAAGGCUCGCUAGUUUAGUCCAGAACAAGCAGGCUGUCUCAGUCAAUCAGUCAAUGUUUAUUUACAUAGCCCUAAACCACGAGUGUCUCAAAGGGCUGCACAAGCCACAACCACAGCAGUUUGAAAGAAAUAUUAAGUUAAAACAAAACAAGCUACUUUGCUCGUCUAAGAUGGCAAACUUGAACAAAUUCAGUCCUUUUCUCACCGACUAUUCUGCACCAGGACAACGCCUGAGAUGCUACGUACGACAGAGCUAACCUGGUGGUGGUCACAUGACAUCACACUGUCACGUACACGCCACUGGUAGCGUGUGAAUAGACUAGUCCUUGGCUAAAACUAGCAAUCCGAGCUACUUUUUGUGUUCAUGCUAGUCUCAGAUGGCAAAAUUUUGAACACAUUUGUAGUAAUCUAUACUAUUUUCCAACUACGUACUGCCGAGCUAACAUGGUGGUCAGUUAUAUGACUGAUGUACUAACCUCGUUUCCAAUUGUGUUAGAUGUAAAUAUAAACAGAAUACAAUGAUUUGCAAAUCCUUUUCAACCCAUAUUCAGUUGAAUAUGCUACAAAGACAACAUAUUUGAUGUUCAAACUUUAUUUUUUUUUUUGCAAAUAAUAAUUAACUUAGAAUGGCUGCAACACGUGCCAAAGUAGUUGGGAAAGGGCAUGUUCACCACUGUGUUACAUCACCUUUUCUUUUAACAACACUCAAACGUUUGGGAACUGAGGAAACUAAUUGUUUAAACUUUGAAAGUGGAAUUCUUUCCCAUUCUUGUUUUAUGUAGAGCUUCUGUCGCUCAACAGUCUUCUUGUCGUAUUUUACGCUUCAUAAUGUGCCACACAUUUUCGAUGGGAGACAGGUCUAGCGGGCCAGGAAAGUACCCGCACUCUUUUUUUACGAAGCCACGCUGUUGUAACACGUGCUGAAUGCGGCUUGGCAUUGUCUUGCUGAAAUAAGCAGGGGCAUUGCUUGGAUGACAACAUAUGUUGUUCCAAAACCUGUAUGGACCAUCCAGCAUUAAUGGUGCCUUCCCAGAUGUGUAAGUUACCCAUGACUUGGGCACUAAUACACCCCCAUACCAUCACAGAUGCUGGCUUUUCAACUUUGCGCCUAUAACGGGACGGCGUGGCGCAGUGGGAGAGUGGCCGUGCGCAACCCGAGGGUCACUGGUUCAAAUCCCACCUAGAACCAACCUCGUCACGUCCGUUGUGUCCUGAGCAAGACACUUCACCCUUGCUCCUGAUGGUUGCUGGUUGGCGCCUUGCAUGGCAGCUCCCUCCAUCAGUGUGUGAAUGUGUGUGUGAAUGGGUAAAUGUGGAAGUAGUGUCAAAGCGCUUUGAGUACCUUGAAGGUAGAAAAGCGCUAUACAAGUACAACCCAUUUAUCAUUUAUCAUUUAUAACAAUCAGGAUGGUUAUUUUCCUCUUUGUUCUGUAGCACACCACGUCCACAGUUUCCAAAUAUAAUUUGAAAUGUGGACUCGUCAGACCACAGAACACUUUUCCACUUUGCAUCAGUCCAUCUUAGGUGAUCUCGGGCCCAGAGAAGCCGGCGGCGUUUCUGGAUGUUGUUGAUAAAUAGCUUUUAGCUUUGCAUAGUAGAGCUUUAACUUGCACUUACAGAUGUAGCGACAAACUUUAUUUAGUGACAGUGGUUUUCUGAAGUGUUGAUAUGUGGUGAUAUCCUUUAGAGAUUGAUGUCGGUUUUUGAUACAGUGCCGUCUGAGGGAAUUCAAUGUUGGUUUCCGGCCAUGCCGCUUACAUGGAGUGAUUUCUUCAAAUUCUCUGAAACUUUUGAUAUUAUAGACUGUAGAUGUUGAAAUCCCUAAAUUUCUUGCAAUUGCACUUUGAGAAACCUUCUUAAACUGUUUGACUAUUUGCUUACAUAGUUGUGUACCUCGCUCCAUCCUUUCUUGUGAAAGACUGAGCAUUUUUAUGAAAGCUGUUUUUAUACCCAAUCAUGGCACCCACCUGUUCCCAAUUAGCCUGCACACCUGUGGGAUGUUCCAAAUAAGUGUUUGAUGAGCAUUCCUCAACUUUAUCAGUAUUUAUUGCCACCUUUCCCAACUUCUUUGUCACGUGUUGCUGGCAUCAAAUUCUAAAGUUAAUGAUUAUUUGCACAAAAAAAAUGUUCUUUAUGAGUUUGAACAUCAAAUAUGUUGUCUUUGUAGCAUAUUCAACUGAAUAUGGCUUGAAAAUGAUUUUCAAAUCAUUGUAUUCUGUUUAUAUUUACAACACAAUUUCCCAACUCAUAUGUAAUAGUCUACAAAUACAACAUUUAUUAAUUUAACAAAAAGUUAACUGUUAAUUGUUAACAACAAUGUUGUCAACUGUGAUUAAUCCUCAGAAGAUAAUUAACAUUUCAUUCCGAUCACUCACAUGAAUAUAUUUGAUUUAGUGCUGAAAUGUAAGAAGUUUUUACCUUAACACUCAUCUCCAUUGACUUGGAGGUCAGAACAAUUGCGAGGUCAGCUUGUUGAGGACUGUUCUCAACUCCUGCUUCACUGUUACACACCAACUCUUCUCGCUGCUGCAUGUUCAACCACUAAUGAUCACUUGCAGGGGACAAAAAUAAAGAAGCCAUGAAGUAUUUACGACAAAAACAAAUCACGUUAUUAGUGUCACCUGUCUUUUUUUUCAUCAAACUCCGCCUUAAAGGACAUCCUGCCAAUCAGAUCCAUCACUAAUAGGAUAAUUAGUAGGUCGUUAUUGUCGCAUAGUUUUUCUUUCUUUUUAAAAGCGACCAAAGUCGUCUUGCGGCGGCAACCUUAUCAGCAAUAAAGUUCCCGGGCAGCGAUCCCAAAGAAGGUUGGCUGCGAAGUUGUUCCUCUUGGCUCAAUCCCGUGCACCCUUCAUCGUUCAAAACGAGCGCCGUUAACAAAAUGAAAUAUCAGCUUUUGUGAUUGCUCCUCUUCUCAGUGCAUUAAAACACAUUUCACAACGUUUACGAGCUAAAGUCGAGAUGAAAAACUUUUGUUCCGUGUGUUGAAAAUAACAGCUUCUUUUUUUCCGUAAUUCACUAUUUUAUCGCACGGUAUUUCAUUUUUGUUGUGUAUAAGAGCCCUCCAUUACGUACACAGAAAAUAUCUAUUUUUUUUUCUGUCUGUAAGCAAUAACUGCAUUCUAAUGUAGAAAAAAAACAAAACAGAAAAACAAGUUGUCUGCUGGACAUAAAGAAGUGGAGGUGGUGUCAAUCUCCAUGACAACAAGAAGAAGACAAGGAAAGUUAAGUUGAAACUAACUACGUAUAAGUGUGUUCCUCUAGUACAAAUAUUAAAUACUGUACAUGUACUGUAACUGGUGAAUAAAUAACUAUCAUGUAUAUAAAGACUACAACAACCA